UAUGUUCGUUAGAUUCACGCACAAACUCGUAAUACGUCUUUUCACUUGCAAACAAUUAACAAAUCAUCGGCAGUCGGAUUCUUUAAUUUUGGUUUGUGUUUAAACACGAUUUAGAUCUGUGAAUUCUAACAUGUGGAUAUACAAAUUUUGAGCGAUGUCUGCAAUCGGAAGGAACGGUAAACGACGACUAUGUAUGAGGGUAGGUGACGUGACGGUGAUGCCCAUACCCUGUUUUUGACGUAGUCAUAUUUUAACGAUAUUUAUAUUAUUUAUACAGUUACAAAUUGCUAAAAAUGGCACAUAAAUAUUAAAUAAAUGGAGAGCUAGUUACUAGGUAGCAAAACAGACGAAGAAAUGGUAAAUAAUGGGAAGGAUAAAAUAGGGUUUAGAGCUGUAUCUAUGACCGCUCAGAAUCAGAGCUUCCAAAUUUGUUAAGACAGACAAUCCGAACUUGUAAUUUGUGUCGUGAAUAAAUAAUGUAAAAAACUUUUGAUUGUUAUCAUUUUGAAAUGACCACGUUUGAGCCUAAAAUCUCAUUUAUUUCUUAUCCUCCUUUUAGUGUUUACCAUUUAGGGAAAAGCAUGUUUUGUACAUACUCGAGCACAAUAGCAUAUCAUUUCAUUCAAUAUAUAUGAGUCAAUAAGCUAGCGAGAUUUACAACAAGAACUUUGUAUUACAAUUUCACAAGUUAAAAAAAAACAUCAUCACAUCUGCUUGUAUUUAAAUUAGCUCAAAGAUGUUACAAAAGUAUGAGCUUGAAAUACCGCUUUCAAAUGGUAAAUGAGGAAAAUGAGAGAGAGAGCCUAUUUACUGUUUUAGGUUAAAUUUACAGGGAUAACACCCUCCAUUCCAUUCCAUUCCAUUCCCCUUGUUUCUUUUUAUACUAUAAAUAAUAUCUAACACAACAAAACUACCAUUUGAAGGUUGAUGAGCAGAAAAACUAGAAUGGAAGCGGAAGUGGGUGCAAUUUGAAGGUUGAUGUUUGAGGAGAAGCCGAGGCUCUUCUGUCGUCUUGGAGAAGAAGCAAAUUUGGGGUGUUUGAUUCUCUGAUCCAGGCAGCCACAACAGGUCCA